AGAGAACACUGACAACACGGUCACCGUCAGCAGUGAGCUUACCCUGGUGCUGCCCGCCUCGGCGGACUCGGUGGGCUGUCUGGUCGACGGUGGCUCCAGCGGGCCGAGGCGGGAGCAGAUCUUACUCCCCCUUUUAAACAGAGGAGGAGACAAGGAGGUGGAGAAUGGAAGUCAAAGAUCUGCUGGCACGAUACCUGGCAUCAUAUUAUCUUUAUGCAGCAUGAUUGCUAUCGCCAUUGUGGCUCUAAUGGUCUGGAAAGGAAAGAAGAGGAUACCUUUCAAACAACAGAUUAUGUCUUCAUCUAUGUUAAACUUGUGUUUAUGUGGAAAGAAGUCGGCCGGUCAUAUGAAAGAAGAAAUGGAAUUGAAAGGAGGGACAGAAAUAGUGUAACCUUAUAAUUCCCAUUGUUUGCAUUAUUUUAAUUUUAAUUUUAAUUAUACUGUUAUUUUAUUGUUAUUAAAAUUAUACAUUUUUAGAUAACAUUUAAAUAGAUAGUUAUGUUGAGAAGAUAUUGGUUCCUACUAGGGGUGUGCAUCUCUCCUUUAUAGGACGAUCCAAUACGUAUCUAGAUAGGCCUACAUGUGCUACGAUACGAUUCAG
ensembl:lncRNA